GCAACAAUGGCAAGUGUAACCUGCUGUUGUUUGGCUGGAGGAGUUGAAGGGGGUGGCGACAAAAAUAGCAUGGCUGUUCGUGCUGUCCACGGAUCCUAUGAAGAUAAAAGGGAUAACUAUCAAGCAAUGAUGGAAAACAGAACCAGCAACGGUGUGACUCCAUCCGAAGAGAGCGAGAAUAUGCAGGGAGAGUGUUCCAUCAUAAAGCUAGUAGACAUUGAG
rnacentral:misc_RNA from 1 species